rnacentral:misc_RNA from 1 species
AGUUUUUAAUGUUGUAACUUAAUUAAAUAGUUUACUUUCAACGAUACGCCGUAACUGUCCUCAACAAUUUAAUUGAUAUUUCAAGACUUUCAUCAAUUUUGAUUGAAUAUGUGGAGUAAACAAUGAAAAAUAAAAUUUUAAUUUUGUAUGGUGUUUCAUGCUUGUUGUGUGGCGUAUCGUGUUGGACACUCAAUGAUCUUUACAAUGACUAUGUUAGCGCAAUAACGCAUAAAAAGAAACACUCCAGUCAUCACGAAAAACGCGCUGAAAUAGCUAACGCAUGGAGUGUUCCUGAAACUAUUAAAUAUGAAACGCAAAAGCAUGACCGUCCUUUAAAAAAAUUGAAUACUAUUAAAAUAAAAAAUCUGGACAAAAAAGAUGCUCAUGGGAAAAAUGAAUACUUUAACUUUAAACCUACUGAAGGAAUUUCACAAUUUAUAAUUAGUCCGCAAUCGUCCUUGCAUUCUUCUACUAAUUCAUCUUCUCCGGGAAAAGAUAACGAUAAAAAACAUCAAGUCACUGCGUGGACUGAAUGGUCGGUAAAUUUAUUAGAACCGCAAAAUCCACUUUUAAAAAUUGAACAUGAAAAAGAAACUAGUAAACUAAAACUUGAAAAACCGACAAGUUUUUCAAACCCGACAAAAAAAGACGAUAAACAUUUAGUGAAAGUUCCUUUUUCUAAAAUAUUAAAUGGUGAUUCAAAUAUUUUGUCUGUUUCAAAAAUAACUUCUCAUGAAAUAAAACAUUCAACUAGUAAAAACCAACCAAUUGAAAUAAAAAAUAACACAAUAAAAAUAAACAACUUACAGGCAGCGCCAUCUUCAUCUAAAAGUCCUUCAUCUCUAAUUAAAGAACAAGUACAUCAUGCUCUGAAAUUUAAAGAAGAAGAAAAAACUGAAUUUCUUCACGAUGAAAAUAUUGAAGUGAAUAAAAUAGAAAAGCACAAUGAGUCAAUGGGUGAGAACAAAUCUAAAGAAACUAUAAUAGUAAAAGCUGAUCACAAUCGUCCGUCAAAAAGAAAAGAACCUAAUUUAGACAAAACAACUGUCAUUGCUGAAACACUUGGUGAACAAAAAACAUCUGUAUCACUUGUAACACCUUCUGAUCAUAAAAGAGAUAUCACCGAACUUCCAGAAAUACAUGAAAUUAUAUCUGGAAAUUUCAAUCGUCAAGUUUUCAAACUUCACGACUGUUUCAUCGAAGCAACAUCAAAUGUUUGUGCCACUAAAAUGCAAAUUAAUCCAGAUACAUGUGGGGGAAAAGCUUCGUUUACUGCAGUAAUGACUCGUCUACUUCCAGCUAUAGAACUUGCUGCUGCGUCAAAUGAACUUAUAGUGCAUGGUAAAUUUGAUGUAAAAGAAUUUGAUAUUGAUAGAUGUCAGGGAAGAGUGUCUUUUAAUUUAUUAUGUAGAGAGCUACUUGAUAUAAUUCCUAAUAGAUUACGAACAAUUUCAAGCAAACUAAUGGUUAAUUUUAGCUAUGAACAGCAACCUAAGUCAAUGAUUAAUUUCAAUUUAAAAAUCAAUGGCUUAUUAAAUCUAGAUUAUCGAAAUCGUCGUCUCAAUGUUUUUGCUGAAAAACCAUUUGGUACCACAUUGUUUAAAAUAGAGAUGAAUACUGCAGACCUAGAAAUUCCUGAGUUUACAAAACUGUUUACUGAAUCAGAAAUUUCACAGCAGGAUUUACCACCAGAUCUUUUAACACUUUCAUCAUCUUCAUUGCGCAACCCUCGUAUAACUGGACUUUAUGACAGCGGUGGAGCUUUUGAGUUUGUAGCAUCAGCAAAAAGUCCUGCAUCAAUUUUCCCCUCUCAGCCUUGGGUGUAUUUAAUUAUACAAAAACCACGUUUAGGAAAAGUGGUUUCAGGUUUGAUUGCCAGUUUUGAAGGUGCAAUGUACCGUUCAUCUUUGUCAGCCAUUUUGAAUUUAGAUCUCUCAAAUAUUCCAUUGUUUAGCGAUAUAAAAACAGAUAUGGCUGUUGGAAUUUCCCCCGAUGGACUUUUUGUAGUAAAAGAUGAGAAUUUCAAUAAAGAAGUAGGUACGCUGUUUAGCUCAGGGCGAACAAUACGUAAAGGUCUUACAGUGAAAGCAAAACUUCCAAUUCAGAAAAUUGUAUUUGAAUCUCUAAGCAAGUUUAUAAGUAACCAAACAUACCCUGAAGACAUUCUAGUUAACAUGGAGGUAAAGGGAAAUAAAAUUCACAUAGAUUUCCCAGAGAGUUUGAAAAUAAACUUAGGAAGUAUUCCAGAAUUAUUUUCCCAACGUGGUCAGGAAAUGACAUUACCGAGAAACACAUUGAGUAUUGGUGAAACCCAGUUUCAAAUAAUGUCUUAUGACAUAAACAAUGUUGAUAAAAAAUCUAUAACUGUUAACUUCAAAUCUCCUCAAAAUAUGAAAAUAGGAUCAUUAAUGGUCCUUAGCGAUGUUGAAGCAAUUCUGACACGUGAUGAAAUGUCUAAGUGGGAUUUUGUAGCCAAAGGGGAUUGUAAAUUAGGAAAUACUUCUGUACCUAUCUCCUUAACGUCUAUUUAUGAAGAGUUUGUAAUAACAAGCAAGCCAAGCUCAAUAAGAUCCGGCUUUCUUGUUAGCUUGUUAGACAAAAAGCGAAGUUAUUUGACAUCAGAUCUUCGAAAGUAUCAUUUAGAUGAUUUUGUGAUUGAAGAUUUUAAAGUUAGUGGUAGCUUAUCAAAAAGAAACAUAAUCAGAUUUUCAGGAAAACCCGCAGUAUUUGGUGUAGAAGAAGGAGUCAUAGAAUUUGUUGCUACGGAAGAAGUUGAUGCAGAUGAUGUAGUUGUCAUGGGUUUACUUUUUAAGGAUGUUGACAUGGAUAAUGUAUUUGGAAGAAUGCUUGAUAAAAAAAUUCAAAGAAGAAGUUGGGCAACUGGCGUUAAUGUUGGUUUGAUUGUAAGUCCUUUAAAUAAACUGGUUGAUUUCCAGUUUGAAUCACCUGGUUUAGCAAAAACUAAAGUUCAACCUGGAGUUCACCUGCGAGCACUUAUAAAACGACCAUUCUAUAAUUUGUGUAAAGGCGAUUCGCUAUGCAAGGUUCUGUCAUCAGAAAUGCCACAUGGAAGCGCAUUUCAUCUUGAUGGAGGAAUUACAAAUGGUGAGUUGAAACUAAGCGCUGCAGUUGAUGGGGCACUAUACAUGUCAAAAUCAUUUGAAAUGAAAGACGUCACUUUUCACGCAGAUGUUGUUGAUAACGGAGUUCAGUUUUACGUAUUUGGUUCAAUGAACCCUCGUGGAGUAGAUAUUCCUUUUUCAGGUGAUAUGCGUGUUGAUAACACAGGGCAAUUAAAGCUAAAUAUGAUAUCGCAGAAUAGUUGGGAGGAACCUUUUGGGUUAAGCAACGUACAUUUAGAUAAUUGCUCUCUAAGUGCAGCUUUCGAACCCGGUUUACCAUUACCUAAUUUUGAUAUGAUAGGGCGGUUAGUACUUGGUAAAAAUUCCGAUGAUGCAAUUGGCAUUGAAGCAGUUGCUAAUAUUAAAUUGAACUUGCAAGAUCCAUCUAAAAAUACAUUUCAAGCCAAAAUACGAGAUUUAUCGUUUGAAAAACUGGCAUCUGCAUUUGGGACUAAGCAACCAUUACUUCGUUUUCAAUCGCAAGCAAGAUUUUUGGAUGAAGCCAUUGUAACAUUUGAGCAAACGGAUAAAGAAAAUGAUGAAAUAGGAGGCGAAAUUGGGGCAGAGCGAAGAGAUGUUAAUUCAUCUGAUUUUCAUUAUAAAGGUGAAUUGAAAAUUAAUGGCCGAAUUCAUUUAUUGGGGGAAAACGCCGAAUAUACAAUCAAAUUCCUUCAACAUCAAACUCAGCUACUCAUUGAAGUUUGGCUUCCUGACAUUGGAAUAAAUCAAGGUUUAUUAACAGUGCGAGCGGGUUUAAAACAACGUUCUGGCUCAGAAACAAAAGUAUCUAAUGGACCUACUUUGCUAAUUCGAAUGGACCCCCAAACAAAUUCGGCAGUUGUUGUGGGAAAAGUUUCUACUUUAGGUUUUUCACGAAUCAGCGCUAUCAAAGUUUCAGACAAAGGAUUUUCUACAACUACCUAUGCCUCACUCCCAGGAAAUAUUAAAACAAAUAUUUCAUUACUUUCACCGUUUCAAGAAAGCAUUCAAAAUGCAGACUUUCAGUUAGCUGCCUGCCUUCCAAUUUAUAACAAUGUCAAAAGUUCUUUGUUUAAUCUUCUACGAAAUACGGCUACUCAAACUAAAAAAACUCUAAUAUCUGCAGAAGAACGUGUGACUACAACUGAAAAUAUUUAUGAAACCACAAAAUCAAUGAUUGAAAAAUACAAAAAAAGGUCAGGGGAUUAUACAAAAGAUAUAAAAAGCAUGGCAGAAGUUAUGAAAAAACUCAGAAACGGAAUUAGACGACAUUGUGUUAAAGAUUGUGGAGAUUCUUGCAUGGGAUUACCUACUUGGAGAAAAAGAGGUAUUCUGUUAGGAGGACGAAAUGCUAUUGGAGCUCCCUUUUGGGACUCUUGUCGUCAUAAAAUACCUGACCUUAAUUGUAUAACUCGUUGUCUUGGUCGGAAGGUCAUCGAAAAUGUGAAAGCUAAUAAUAAGCAAAUUGAACUUCAGAAACUGAUGAGUUCUUUAGCCGAUACUAAAAGAUCGUUACAAGACGCUAGAUUACUCGUUAAUCGCGCUCGUAAUCUUGUGGAUUCAACUUUAAAUGGUUUAGAAAAGGUAAAUAAAGAAAUUCGUGUAGGAGUUGAUAUAUCAAAGUUCUUGAAUGAUGCUCAAGUUGAAAAGUCGAUUGAUGUUACAGGAAUUUGCUUUAAAGACAGUCUUGAUAAUGCAGAAAGAUCUCUUAUAAAACUUUUAGUGAACGGAACUUUUCACGGGGAACCCAAAGUGUUUUCUGUGAAAGCUGCACUAGAUGGAAAUCUAGAUCAAAAUAUUGCUGAGGGAAUAGCUGAUAAUCUAUACCCAGGUUUUUUUGAGUUUAGCAAAAACUUAGAACAAGUAAAAAUGUUAUUGAGCAAUCUUGACGGUGAACGACAAGAUAUAACAAAAGAGAUCGACAAAACUACCGACGGAUCAAUUCAGACAGACCAAAAAAAGUCCGUUGUUCUGGACCCCAGAAGAAGAUGAAUAUAGAAAGCUAGCAUUUGGUGAAUUACCUCGCUUUACUUUAAGCGAUGACGAAACAAUUCAUGCAUUUGAAGAAAGAUCUCUUUGGCAAAUUGCACCUUCAAACGAUCCUUUAUUUGAUAAAGCUCCAGGAGAUAACCAAAUAUUGGCCAACGAUGCAACGCCUGAUAACCAACCAUUUGUAAAGGAGAUAGAAAGGAAAACAAGUUGCGACCAAUUAAAAAGUAGCGUAAACCGAUAUAGUGAUAUAAUUAAUCCGCUAGCCGAAUUUACAGAAGAUUUCUUACAGGAGAAAAUAAUGUUCUAUAGACAAAAAAAUAGA